rnacentral:ncRNA from 11 species
AGUCAUAUGCUUGUCUCAAAG